ensembl:lncRNA
CUGGUUUAAUUUCUGCUAGAUUCAAUAUUAACUGUUUAAUUAACACAGCUGAAGAGCAUUAUUGAAUUGGAAAUGAAGAUCUACUCAAGGUAACCUCGUUGGUCCGUCGCAGAUGAAUGCAGGCCGGGCAUAAAUGAACUAAAUUAAGAAUCAGGAAGGCACAGCUGUUGUCUUGGAAGACGUUUUCUCAGGAGACCCGAGGCACCUUUGAGGAGCAAAGGAGCAGAAAGAAGAAGUUUUCUUGUCCGGAAAGAUGAUAUAAAAACCAUUACGCCUAUGGAGUCCCCGUAAACCACCAAUGCAGGGUGCCACUCACUCAUUCAGUAUACAGCAAAAAAGCCCCAGACCAUCACGCUUCCACCUCCACGUUUGACUCGUUCCUCCUCCGUCCUUUCACCUACUCAACAAAACCUGUGUGACAAACACAAGAUUUCACAUUUUGACUCAUCGGUCGAGACCUUCCACCUCCAGGAGUCCAUUGACAAUGCCCAGGUCAGGUAGCAGGUCAUCUGUGUGUCCAUAUGGGACGGGUCUCAGAGAUGGUCUCAUUCGGCGGUUUAUCCUCGACAUGUCGUGGUUUCUGCAUCAUGAG